GAGUCAGCUUUGGGGCUGAGGCUAUCUAAGAAGUGUCCCCUUAGGCCACAUAAAGGGAAAGUGUCACUUUUGAUCCGAGUGCUGAGGUGUGCAGGGUAGAGCAGUCCCGGUGUGUGUUGUGUCACUUGUCUAAUAUGCCUUAUGUGUUGUUUAUAUGUCCCAUGUCAUACAUCAUCUACCUUAGCCCUUUGAGGGGCCCAUCAGAAACCCUGGCAUCACUCUUAGCAUCUCUGAUCCCUGCAUUUCUUGGCCUGGCCCCAAUGCCAUAGGUCUUUUGACUUGGGAGCUCAGACAGGCAUUGGACUUGCAUUUCUCUUUAGAACAUCCGGUCUGAUGUCUUUACAGGUCUUGUUCUGAACAGUACAUACUGCUGUGCAUUGCAAGGAUCCAUUAUGGCAGAUUAGGAAUUGUAAGAAUGUAAGGAUAGGUAGAGGAUUCUGACCGUAGGAUUCUCAGACAUCCAUCUUUGUAGUUCUUGGUGUAGACCAUUGUCUUAGCAGAUUCUUCCUCCAGGGUUCUCUGAGCCUCUACAGCUCGCCAUCGGUCUCACCCCAGUCAUCUAAUUUGCGUUCUCUCUGUCCUUGCAGUAAUUCCUCUUGCCCUGAGAUUUCUGUCCCUGUUGUGUCCCCAUUGUUUGUCACGUCCUGUCCUGUGUCACGGGUGUCUGCACUAUUUGUGCCGGAGCUGCUCUGCCCUGCUGCGUAGCCUGGUGUAAUAGGACAAAGCCUGGGGGCUUGAAAUUUGUAGUAUGGGGUGUAGUUGGACUCUGGAUGGUAUUCCUAGGUUGACCCAAGGUGUCUGGAGCUGUGAAGUUGUUCUGCAGCCCUUUGACUUUUGUUCUGACUUUCUUUCAGAUGCAGACGGAUAAAAUCCAUGGCAGAGCACCCUAUCCCAGGAAGUAAAGCCAUAUAGCAGCAGUCAAGGUGGUCCACUUGCAACCCGUGCUGGCCAAGGAUGCCCGAUGCCAGGUGCCGUCACUGCCCUUGGUGCGCCAAGGAACAGAGGCGAGCGGGUAUCUUCCGGCCAGACUCUGGAGUCAAAUCAAGAUUUAAGGUACUGCGAGGAGCUUUGUAGCCAAAGUUUGGAAGCACACGAGACCGUCUCAACAUCCACGUCCAACUGGCGAUGGAUUUUUGUCAGCUCGUCUUCCAAAAGCUAAGUGCUGGGGCCUUCCAAAAGCUAAGUAGUUGGGAGAAAGGGAAAAAGCUUUACUAUCACAGGAGGCAAUUUGAUGUUAGCUUAGCGGAGCAAUCUGUAGCGGAACAGGUCCCUCAGAAGUAAAGGGAGAGGGUUUCUCCUCGGCCUCACCGGAGCCUUUGCCGGGCAGGGCAGUUCCGACCCAUCUCCGCGUUCUCGUGAACUUUGCGUCGUCAGCCUCCUUCGACCCUCAACGUCGUCGCGGAUCUUUCUCCCGAGGAGCUCGCCUUCAGGUCCAGAGCUAUAGCCACCAUCACCUGGCAGUCUCUGCUUCCUUCUCUAGGCCCACCGAGCCUCCCGAGCAUCCUCUUAACUGCUUUGGCGCUAACCUCUUUUAAGGAGUUGCAUUUCAUCAUCACACGCUGUUGCCAUAGGACUCACUUUCCUUUGGCAUCUUUGGCCUCUGGCUCAUCUUGCACUAGGAAUCUUGAGUGAAACUGCCAGGCGGUUUCCACUUGUGUCUGUGUCAUGUUAUCUGUGUCUUUGUUAUGUUGUCUACGUUACGGUGUCUGUGUUGUGUAGUCUGUGUGCAUCAUCUUCCAUGCAUAGGCCUUCGUUACAUCUCGAUGCCAUAUCGGCAUCAUUCCGUGCCGUAUCGGCCACAUUUUACUCGCGUUCCUUCCUGGACAUCGCUUAUUCUGCCAUCUUUACAUUUUUACUCUUUGAGACACGAAGAAGUAGACAAGAUGUUUUCAUCAGUCUUCCAUCUGAGCUGUGGUAGUGCCUUUUUCUUCCUGUGCCAUUCUCUUGGGCUUCUAUAGGGAGUGUCUUACACCCUCCUCAUGUGAGUGCCAUAGUUCUGUAGGUUCCAUCUUCUCAAAGGGUAUGGUGCUCAAGAAUUCAUCUUCCAGAGAGUUAUCUGAAGUCCUGGUUUACAUUGUCUGUGCUUAUGUUGUAUGUACCUAUGUUGGCUUAUAUUGUAUGUAAUUAUAUUGUAUGAACCUAUGUUGGCUUAUAUUGUAUGUAAUUAUGUUGGCAUAUAUUGCAUGUACUUGUGUGGUAUGUAAUUAUGUUGGCUUAUAUUGAAUGUACUUGUAUGGCAUGUAAUUAUGUUGGCUUAUAUCAUAUGUACUUGUACUGUAUGUACCUGUGUUGGCUUAUAUUGUGUGUACUUAUAUUGCGUCACUUACGGUCGGAGCUGCCCUGCCCUGGUAUGUAGUCACAGUUAGGUAGAACAAUUAUAAAAACGUUACCAUUCAUCUGUCUUCUAUUGGAUUUUGGGUAGAAAACUUAGGGGCCCAGAGCAGGUACAAGUCCUAGCUGUCAGCCACUUGUUGACCACCUCCCGUUGUCUCACAGGUCCCCGAGGCGACCGAUUUUCCCGGAAUCUACCAUGUGACGUCUAGGAGUUGCAGCCGGAUGAUGUGUUGAAGCACGUUCUUCAGGGUUUCAAGUAAGGGCUGCAGCGAGCAUGUAAGUCGAAGAGCGUGUGAGUCUGCGUGAGUGCAAGCGACUGUCUACGUCCGCUUGUCUCUGCACGUGCGAGUGAGUGCUGACCGGUUCUAACCUUGUGUGUGUGAUGUUUGCCUUUCAGGAUUUUCAACUCAUUUUAAAAUUUAGAAU